GAUGAACGCUGACAGAAUGCUUAACACAUGCAAGUCUUUGGCGAAGCUGUGCUUGCACAGCCUAGCCAAGGCGGACGGGUGAGUAACGCGUAAGGAACUUGCCCUGCAGUCAGGGAUAACAGACGGAAACGACUGAUAAGACCUGGUAAAGUCAGGCGGACUCAUGUCCAGCCUGAUGAAAAGAGAUGCUGCAGGAGAGCCUUGCGUCCUAUUAGCUUGUUGGUGGGGUAACGGCCCACCAAGGCGAUGAUAGGUAGCCGGCCUGAGAGGGUGGACGGCCACAAGGGGACUGAGAUACGGCCCUUACUACUACGGGAGGCAGCAGUGGGGAAUAUUGGACAAUGGGGGCAACCCUGAUCCAGCAAUUCUGUGUGCACGAUGAAGGUUUUCGGAUUGUAAAGUGCUUUCAGCAGGGAAGAAAAAAAUGACGGUACCUGCAGAAGAAGCGACGGCUAAAUACGUG
rnacentral:rRNA from 1 species